GAUGAACGCUGGCGGCGUGCCUAAUACAUGCAAGUCGAGCGAACAGACGAGGAGCUUGCUCCUUUGACGUUAGCGGCGGACGGGUGAGUAACACGUGGAUAACCUACCUAUAAGACUGGGGUAACUUCGGGAAACCGGAGCUAAUACCGGAUAACAUGUUGAACCGCAUGGUUCAACAGUGAAAGACGGUCUUGCUGUCACUUAUAGAUGGAUCCGCGCCGCAUUAGCUAGUUGGUAAGGUAACGGCUUACCAAGGCAACGAUGCGUAGCCGACCUGAGAGGGUGAUCGGCCACACUGGAACUGAGACACGGUCCAGACUCCUACGGGAGGCAGCAGUAGGGAAUCUUCCGCAAUGGGCGAAAGCCUGACGGAGCAACGCCGCGUGAGUGAAGAAGGUCUUCGGAUCGUAAAACUCUGUUAUUAGGGAAGAACAAAUGUGUAAGUAACUAUGCACGUCUUGACGGUACCUAAUCAGAAAGCCACGGCUAACUACGUG
rnacentral:rRNA from 1 species